rnacentral:tRNA from 1 species
AUACUGGAAGUAUACACCUGUACAGUUGCCUUCCAAGCAGAAAGACCAACCUUUGGCCAGUAUA